rnacentral:lncRNA from 1 species
GCGCUCAUCGCUCCUGUUUUUCUUCCAUGUGCUUCUUGCAGGUACUAUUGCUUUGAUGUGGGUUGUAGUGAUCGUUUUUGAUUAGUGACGGGCUGUCAAUUGGGUACUCGUAUUGUGCUCUCGUUCGAUGUUAGCUGCUCCGGAGGUGUGUACCCUUUCGGUCCCUCUGUUCUAUAUGAACCUUCGGUUAAAAGGGUGUAUACGGUCACGGUAGGCGGA